rnacentral:tRNA from 1 species
AGCCCUGUAGUAUAGCGGUCAAGUAUCACGGACUCUGGCUCCGUGGACCCAGGUUCGAAUCCUGGCAGGGCUA